GACGAACGCUGGCGGCGUGCUUAACACAUGCAAGUCGAACGGUAAGGCCCUUCGGGGUACACGAGUGGCGAACGGGUGAGUAACACGUGGGUGACCUGCCCUGCACUUCGGGAUAAGCCUGGGAAACUGGGUCUAAUACCGGAUAGGACUCCUGGCUUCAUGGUUGGGGGUGGAAAGCUUUUGCGGGGUGGGAUGGGCCCGCGGCCUAUCAGCUUGUUGGUGGGGUAAUGGCCUACCAAGGCGACGACGGGUAGCCGGCCGGGGAGGGGGACCGGUCACAAUGGGACUGGGAUACGGGCCAGACUCCUACGGGAGGCAGCAGUGGGGAAUAUUGCACAAUGGGCGCAAGCCUGAUGCAGCGACGCAGCGUGAGGGAUGACGGCCUUCGGGUUGUAAACCUCUUUCAGCAUCGACGAAGCGAAAGUGACGGUAGGUGCAGAAGAAGGACCGGCCAACUACGUGCCAGCAGCCGCUGUAA
rnacentral:rRNA from 1 species